ACUGUCUCCAGGUAAAUGAUGUGAGUGUGUUUGCAUAUUGAUCAGAUGCUUCAGUGCUCUGAGAGUGUUUAUAGUGCUGUGAGUUUAACACUUCAUCACUGACACACACAACAAUCUUCAUCAACAUGACCUUCAUCAUCAUCUUCAUCUGGACUCUCACAGCGUUUGCUCAAGAGUGUAGAGGACAGAUCAGCGUCACUCAGAGUCCCUCAACGACAGCAGCUCAACCAGGAGAAACAGUGAAGAUCAGCUGUAGAACCAGCAGAGAUGUUUAUGAAUAUAGUGCGCCACAAUACUAUUUAAGCUGGUACUUACAGAAACCUGGAGAAGCUCCUAAACUCCUGAUUUAUCUAACAUCAGACCGUUACACUGGAACUCCAUCUAGAUUCAGUGGAAAGAGUUCAUCUGCAACUGAUUUCACUCUGACCAUCCUCAGAGUCACAGUGACUGAACUGAUGCUGCAGCUGAUCAAACACUAUCACUCACUACUGACACACAGAGACCAAACACAAAACUACACAUGA